rnacentral:rRNA from 1 species
CCAGACUCCUACGGGAGGCAGCAGUGGGGGAUAUUGCACAAUGGGGGGAACCCUGAUGCAGCGACGCCGCGUGGGUGAAGAAGCGCCUCGGCGCGUAAAGCCCUGUCAGCAGGGAAGAAAAUGACGGUACCUGAAGAAGAAGCCCCGGCUAACUACGUGCCAGCAGCCGCGGUAAUACGUAGGGGGCAAGCGUUAUCCGGAUUUACUGGGUGUAAAGGGGGCGCAGACGGCGAUGCAAGCCAGGAGUGAAAGCCCGGGGCCCAACCCCGGGACUGCUCUUGGAACUGCGUGGCUGGAGUGCGGGAGGGGCAGGCGGAAUUCCUGGUGUAGCGGUGAAAUGCGUAGAUAUCAGGAGGAACACCGGUGGCGAAGGCGGCCUGCUGGACUGCAACUGACGUUGAGGCCCGAAAGCGUGGGGAGCAAACAGGAUUAGAUACCCCAGUA